GGGGAUUUAGCUCAGUGGCAGAGCGCUUGCCUAGCAAGCACAAGGCCCUGGGUUCGGUCCCCAGCUCA
rnacentral:tRNA from 1 species